GACGAACGCUGGCGGCGUGCUUAACACAUGCAAGUCGAACGAAGUGGCGAACGGGUGAGUCAUACGUGGGUAACCUGCCCUCCUUUUUGGGAUAAGCCUUGGAAACGGGGUCUAAUACCGAAUAAUGGGGGAUGGGCUCGCGGCCUAUCAGCUUGUUGGUGGGGUAAUGGCCUACCAAGGCGGUGACGGGUAGCCGGCCUGAGAGGGUGACCGGGCACAGUGAGACGGAGCUACGGCCCAGACUACGAAGGGAGGGAGCAGGGGGGGAUAUUGCACAAUGGGCGAAAGCCGGAUGCAGCGACGCCGCGUGGGGGAUGAAGGCUUUCGGGUUGUAAACCUCUUUAGCAAUCGAAGGGGUAGGUGGAGAAGAAGCGCCGGCUAACUACGUGCCAGCAGCCGCGGUAAUAC
rnacentral:rRNA from 1 species